GGUAUGGGAGUGGGAUUGGUAGACACGCUAGCUUGAGGGGCUAGUGCCGGUUACGGUGUGAAGGUUCAAGUCCUUUCCACAGCA
rnacentral:tRNA from 1 species